rnacentral:rRNA from 1 species
AGAGUUUGAUCCUGGCUCAGAAUAAACGCUGGCGGCGUGUCUUAAGCAUGCAAGUCGAACGGCAAGGUACCUUCGGGUACCCUAGAGUGGCGGACUGGUGAGUAACACGUAGGUGACGUACCUUUUGGACGGGGAUAGCCCGUAGAAAUACGGGAUAAUACCGGAUAAGGUUGCACGGGUUGGAGCCGUGCAAGGAAAGGCGCUACGGCGUCGCCGAAAGAACGGCCUGCGACCUAUCAGCUAGUUGGUGAGGUAAAGGCCCACCAAGGCAAUGACAGGUAUCCGGCCUGAGAGGGUGAUCGGACACAUUGGGACUGAGAUACGGCCCAGACUCCUACGGGAGGCAGCAGCUAAGAAUAUUCCGCAAUGGACGAAAGUCUGACGGAGCAACGCCGCGUGGAUGAUGAAGGCCGGAAGGUUGUAAAAUCCUUUUAUAAUUGAGGAAUAAGCCGGGUAGGGAAUGACCUGGUGGUGACUGUAGAUUAUGAAUAAGCACCGGCUAAUUACGUGCCAGCAGCCGCGGUAACACGUAAGGUGCGAGCGUUAUUCGGAAUUAUUGGGCGUAAAGGGCACGCAGGCGGUUUUGCAAGCUUGGUGUGAAAUCCCGGGGCUUAACCCCGGAACUGCAUUGAGAACUGCAUGACUAGAGUUAAUGAGGGGAAACCGGAAUUCCAGGUGUAGGGGUGAAAUCUGUAGAUAUCUGGAAGAACACCAAUGGCGAAGGCAGGUUUCUAGCAUAUAACUGACGCUCAGGUGCGAAGGUGCGGGGAUCAAACAGGAUUAGAUACCCUGGUAGUCCACCCUGUAAACGAUGAUAACUCGCUGUCGGCGAUACACAGUCGGUGGCCAAGCGAAAG